rnacentral:lncRNA from 1 species
UGGUCUGGGAUAGUUGGGCAGGGAGGUAAGGGGUCUGGGGCCAGCUGGGGCCCCUGGGGCUCAGUGUGUGUGUGAAUGAGAGGCUGAUGAGAGGCUGCAGGAGUUUGGGAGGCUUUGGGCAAAGUCCAAGCUGAGCAGGUGGGAGUGAGAGGGCCUGAGCGUGUUCUAGGCCCUCCUGGGAAUGUCGAUUGAAUUCAGGGUGCCCUGCAGAAGAAAGUGUUGUGCUGGGGACCCUGAAGGGCGAGAGUGGGUUCUGCCUGCCAGAGGGGCAGGGUUGGGCAUUCUGCCAGCCAAGGGGCCAGCCCGAGGUGUCCCAGCCCUGGCACCAGGGAUUUGGCUGUGGAGUGCCACCAAGGUGGCCUCUGGGGAAAGGCUUUGGGGACAAGUGAGGUGGACAGCACUGGUGGUCCUUACCUCAACUCAUAGAUGUGACAGGCUGUCUACCUGGUCUCCAGAAUGGACGGCCCUGUGGCAGAGCAUGCCAAGCAGGAGCCCUUUCACGUGGUCACACCUCUGUUGGAGAGCUGGGCGCUGUCCCAGGUGG